CAGUCGCCGCGGUAAUACGGAGGGAGCUAGCGUUGUUCGGAAUCACUGGGCGUAAAGCGCACGUAGGCGGCUAUUCAAGUCAGGGGUGAAAGCCCGGGGCUCAACCCCGGAACUGCCUUUGAAACUAGAUAGCUUGAAUCUUGGAGAGGCGAGUGGAAUUCCGAGUGUAGAGGUGAAAUUCGUAGAUAUUCGGAAGAACACCAGUGGCGAAGGCGACUCGCUGGACAAGUAUUGACGCUGAGGUGCGAAAGCGUGGGGAGCAAACAGGAUUAGAUACCCCUGUAGUCCCUGUCUCUUAUAA
rnacentral:rRNA from 1 species